AGACCCGAAACCCGGUGAUCUAGCCAUGGGCAGGUUGAAGGUUGGGUAACACUAACUGGAGGACCGAACCGACUAAUGUUGAAAAAUUAGCGGAUGACCUGUGGCUGGGGGUGAAAGGCCAAUCAAACCGGGAGAUAGCUGGUUCUCCCCGAAAGCUAUUUAGGUAGCGCCUCGUGAAUUCAUCUCCGGGGGUAGAGCACUGUUUCGGCUAGGGGGCCAUCCCGGCUUACCAACCCGAUGCAAACUGCGAAUACCGGAGAAUGUUAUCACGGGAGACACACGGCGGGUGCUAACGUCCGUCGUGAAGAGGGAAACAACCCAGACCGCCAGCUAAGGUCCCAAAGUCAUGGUUAAGUGGGAAACGAUGUGGGAAGGCCCAGACAGCCAGGAUGUUGGCUUAGAAGCAGCCAUCAUUUAAA
rnacentral:rRNA from 1 species